rnacentral:lncRNA from 1 species
GAUAAGAAGAAGGAAUCAAAAAUUAGAACAUCCAUUCAGCCUCAAUCAAAAGAAGUUAGAUUACAAAUCAAGGAGCUAUUGCAAGCAAAUAUUCUGAUUUUAAAUUAAGCUCAAUCAAAGGCUUGAUUGCCUCGUAAAUGGAAGCCUGUGACAAGGAAAGUCACGAUCGAAUCCGGCCCUUCCCAAGAGCAAGAUUCGAAAGACACCCCUUGGGUCAAAUCAUUUUAAAGAUCUCGUGCCUCUAUUUUCAGUCAAGACUCGACGGCUCUUUUCUCUCCAAUAAGAAGAUUGCUAAUAUCAAAUGGAAGACUUGCGCAACUACACAUAUUAUUUUCAAAGUCUCUCUACUUCUUACUCUAAACACUAUAAUCCUUUGUUUACAAGUGUCUCAAAAUAUAGGAAGAAUUAGACCACAAAAGAGAGUUGUGUCAUUAUUCAAGAUUUAUUGCUGUAAUACUUCGUUGGUGGUAAAUGAAUCAAAACCAUUUGUACUAUAAUUCUUUCAAGAUCUAAGAUGACCCAAGGAAAACUGGAUAUAAGUAUCACAUCGGUACCAAACCAGUAUAAAAUGGC